GCUUAGCCCUAAACUUAGAUAGUUACCCUAAACAAAACUAUCCGCCAGAGAACUACUAGCAAUAGCUUAAAACUCAAAGGACUUGGCGGUGCUUUACAUCCCUCUAGAGGAGCCUGUUCUAUAAUCGAUAAACCCCGAUAUACCUCACCAUCUCUUGCUAAUUCAGCCUAUAUACCGCCAUCUUCAGCAAACCCUAAAAAGGAAGAAAAGUAAGCACAAGUAUCUUAACAUAAAAAAGUUAGGUCAAGGUGUAGCUCAUGAGAUGGGAAGCAAUGGGCUACAUUUUCUAAAAUUAGAACACCCACGAAGAUCCUUACGAAACUAAGUAUUAAAGGAGGAUUUAGUAGUAAAUUUGAGAAUAGAGAGCUCAA
rnacentral:rRNA from 1 species